ACGGAUUUACUCCCGAGGGCUUGUAGCUCAUUAGGUUAGAGCGCGCGCUUGAAAAGCGUGAGGUCGAAGGUUCAAGUCCUCCCAGGCCCACCAAUUUAUGAUUGCUGAUAAAUUUGCUGAAAAGUUUUUUGUGAAUGUUUUGAUGGUCUUUUAUCUUACGAUCUUUCACGUUUAUGUUGCAAUCUUUCAAAAGUAUUUGAACUGUUUUAGGGGCCGUAUCUCAUCUGGGAGAGCACCUGAUUUGCAAGCAGGGGGUCGUCGGUUCGAUCCCGUCCGGCUCCACCAUCUUUGGUUAUCAUCAUCGUUAAAGAACAAUGUUUUGCAAUAGAUCUGUAGAUCUUAAGUCUAUCAUCUAUUGCCUGUUCUAUUGAAAUUGUGAAGAGAAGAUAUAUUCAGACAUUACUGUUUUAUUCAGCUAUUGUUGUUGUGUUGUUGCUUUGAAUGUUUAAGUCUCUCCUUUAAGGAAUGACAAAAAGCUUAAAAACACAACGCUAGUUUAAAAACACAACGCUAACAUUGUUAAACAAUGU
rnacentral:tRNA from 1 species